rnacentral:rRNA from 1 species
UGGGGAAUAUUGCACAAUGGGCGCAAGCCUGAUGCAGCCAUGCCGCGUGUGUGAAGAAUGCCUUCGGGUUGUAAAGCACUUUCAGCGGGGAGGAAGGCGGUGAGGUUAAUAACCUCAUCGAUUGCCGUUACCCGCAGAAGAAGCACCGGCUAACUCCGUGCCAGCAGCCGCGGUAAUACGGAGGGUGCAAGCGUUAAUCGGAAUUACUGGGCGUAAAUCGCACGCAGGCGGUCCGUCACGUCGGAUGUGAACUCCCCGGGCGCAACCUGGGAAGUGCAUGCGAAACUGACAGGCUAGAGUAUUGUAGAGGGGGGGAGAAUUGCAGGGGGAGCGGUGAAGUGGGUAGAGAGCUGGAGGAAUAACAGUGGAGAAGGCGGCCCCCUGGAGAAAGACGGACGCUCAAGUGCGAAAGCGUAGGGAGCAAACAGG